rnacentral:lncRNA from 1 species
UUUUUUUUUUUUUUUUUUUUUUUUUUUGGCUGCACCCAAGGCAUUUGGACAUUCCCAGGCCAGGGAUCGAAUCCUUACCACUGCAGUAAUAACACCAGAUACUUAACCAACUGUGGGAUGAGAGAAUUUCUGUAAUAGAGGAUUUUUUUUAAGGUAAAAGUAAUUGAAAAAAAAAAGGCCAUAGUUUUGUCAGGUUUGAAGCAUUUUCUUCAUACUACCCAAGUGAAUAUUUCAUCAAAGCUUUAUUUAUUUAUUUGUCUUUUCUAGGGACACACCCACAGCAUAUGGAAGUUCCCAGGCUAGGGGUCUAAUUGGAGCUGUAGCUGCCAGCCGACACCAUAGCUCACAGCAACACCGGAUCCUUAACCCACUGAGCGAGGCCAGAGAUCGAACCCACAACCUCAUGGUUCCUGGUCAGAUUCAUUAACCACUGAGCCAUGACGGGAACUCCCUCAUCAAAGCUUUAAAGCAAUGAUAUAAUGCCAAGCCUAUAAAUAUCCACAAUUGACUAAAGUCAUCUAAAGGUAAUGAAAGUAAAGAAGUCUGUAUAUACUUUUUAAUUGGCCUAAACAGGUUGACCCAAGUAGAGUUAGCUAGCAGUUAUCUAAUUACCUGUAAUAAUAGUAAUGAUAAUUAUGAUCAAUAUUUAUACAGUGAUUUUUAAUCUGAUGGUUAAAAUCAGAUUAAAAUUCCUAUUCCUGGAGUUUCCACUGUGGUGCAGAGAUGAAUGGUGUCUUGAGAUGCAGGUUCAAUCCCAGGCCCCCGCACAGUGGGUUAAGUAUCUGGCGUUGCUGCAGCUGCAACUGAGGUUGCAACUGCAGUUCAGAUCUGAUUCUGAGCUUGGAAACUCCAAGUCGCAGGGUGGCCUCAAAAAAUCAUGUUCCCUUGCAUCUGGCAGUCAUAUAUUGAAUAUUGGUAAAGCCCUUUGCCAGGCACUAUAGAAAUUACUUGACAUAUAGAGUUUCCACUGUGGUGCAGAGAUGAAUGGUGUCUUGAGAUGCAGGUUCAAUCCCAGGCCCCCGCACAUGGGAUAAGUAUCUGGCAUUGCUGCAGCUGCACCUGAGGUUGCAACUGCAGUUCAGCUCUGAUCAUGAGCUUGGAAACUCCAUGUCGCAGUGUGGCCUCAAAAAAUCAUGUUCCCUUGCAUCUGGCAGUCAUAUAUUGAAUAUUGGCAAAGCCCUUUGCCAGGCACUAUAGAAAUUACUUGACAUAUGCCAUUCCAUUUAAUCCUGAAAACAGCCCCAUGGAUUAAGUAUGUAUUAGGUUCAGCAACAAGUGUCAGAAAAUAAACAACAACAAUAACUCAAAAUAGAAAUGCAUUUCUUCCUUCUCUAAAAGCCUGGGCAAAUGAUCCAGGGCAUUUGAUGUGAUAAUCAUAAGGGACACAGGCUCCCACUCUUGUUCAGCUUUCCUCAGUACACAGCUUCCAUCUCCCUGUUCAAGAUGACUGCUCCAACUCCACUCAUCAUACUGAACUCCAGCCUGCCAAAAGGAAAAAAGGGCAUUCUCCCUCUUUUAAGGGUAGUUCCUGGAAGUUUCAGAAAUGACUUCUAUUUUCACCCCUUUGGCUAGAAAUUGAACGCAUAAACACAUCUCACUGCAGGGGACACUAUAAAUGUGGACUUUAUUUGGGGCAUCCUGGUAUUUAGUAACUGUUGAAGGGUCUUCACUGAUCAAGAUGGGAGGAAUGGACAUUGGGGUAAAACUAAUAGUUUCAGUCACGGUAUGCUAUCAUUCUCAUUCUACAAAUGAAGUACAGAGAAGUUAAUAAAUACGCCCGAAGUUACAGUCCCAGUAGAGUUGUUUCACUGAUGCCCAUGUUCUUUCCACCACGCCACAGUAUCCCUUGUAACUCAGUUAAUCUAUUUCUCAACAUAGUUAGGAUUCAAUUAAUCAGAUAAAAACAUUUUUUAACCAAAAGGCCAACUAGGAAAGUUUUGUUUUGGGUCUGAAUAUCAUUUGCUGCAUUAUUCUGCUCACCUGGAAUAAACAAAUACUCCGUGAAUGACUACUUUUGGUCAAAACAUAGUCUAAAAACAGGAUUUCCAGAAUGAAUUAUAAUAUUUCCAUCUCAAGAAUUCCCUUCGUGACUCAGCGGUUAACUAACCCAAAUAGGAUCCAUGAGGAUGGGGGUUCAAUCCCUGGCCUCACUCAGUGGGUUAAGGAUCCGGUGUUGCCAUGAGCUGUGGUACAGGUUUAAGAUGCGGCUUGGAUUCCACGUUGCUAUGGCUGUGGUGUAGGCUGGCAGCUGUAGCUCCCAUUCGAUCUGUAGCCUGGGAACUUCCACAUGCCAUGGGUGCGGCCCUAAAAACAAACAAAAAUAAUAAUGAUAAUAUUUCCAUCUAAUAUUUGUAAAAGUGACAUCAGGAAAGCAUAGCAAGGAAAUCCUUGAAUAAAGAGAAAUGGCCCCCAUUAUACCUAUCAAGAACACUGGCUUGUACUUUAACAUUAGAAACUAUGACAUAUACCAGAUUGCAUUAAAUUACAUAAAGGGAUGAAUGACACUGGUUUAAUGAGAACUGCAAUAACAUGGUAAUGCAGUUAUCUAAUUAAAUGUGUCUUAGGACCAAGCAGAACUCAAGAUUUCUAUCCAGCUACAACUGCAUUGUCUAUUGAGCACCUGAAACAUAGCCAGUGCAACUUGAGAAGUGCCUUAUGUGUAAGACACAUAUAGAAUUUUGAAGGCUUAGUAAAACGUAAUAUAAAAUAACUCGAAUAAUUUUACAUUGACUACAGGUGGAAAGGAUAUUUUAGAUAUUUGGAAUAAAUAAAAUCUACCAUUGAAUUUAAUUUCACCUGUUUCUUUUUUACUGUUUAAAACAUGGCUACUAGAAAAUUUUCUUGCUUGCAUUUGAGGCUCACACUAUAAAUCUUUUAGAGAAAUGGUUUAUACAAACAGUGGUGAAGAAGAAGGACAAGGACAGAGGGUCUCUACUAAUGUCCAAGAGGAAAAGAAAGUCUUGGUCUGGAGCGCACUGAAUUUUCCAGUGACCAGUGAGUAGCACUCUGUUUCUGAGUAGCAAUAUUUCAACAGGAUUUCUAAAGCUUUAGUUAAAAUCCUCUGGAAAAUAAUUCCUUAACCAUCCCUUUCUCCUUAGGCCUAGGAGAUAGAAAACCAUCUGAAGACUAAUUGGGCUUCCUAGAUCAUCCACUAUGGGAAGGAAUGGGAGAUAAAUGCAAGUAAAUGUACUGAUGUGGAAUCAGUUAUUAUGCUUUUAACUGCAAAACAAUGGAAAAACUGAUUUCAGCAGUAAGAAAACAUAUUAUCUUAACGCGAGGGCCAGAGAUAAGGCAGUCUCUGGGUGAUCAGAUCUCUGCUCCAUUUCACUGUAGGUUUCUCAGGCUCUGCCUUCAUAGGUGUGUUGGCUUUACCUCCAAAUUAUGUUUAAUAAUAUAACAAAUCAAUGGCUUCAUUCCUUCUUAUUCUAUUUAAUCCUUACUGCUUUCUUCAUUAAAAAUUCCCAAAACAUAAUCACAUGAACAUUUCCACAGGCUUUUGCUGGCAUUCAUUUACCGAGCACCUGCGAUGCGCCAGGCAUAACACAGUUCUGGCUCCUACCGAGCUUGCUGUCUCCCUCAUUAGAGAAAACAGACAAAUGCAUACAAAUCAUAUCCUUAAUGUUGUCAAGUGGUAGAGCUCAUCAACAUGCUUAAAGUUACUCAUGACCCAAACACACUUUUAAAAGUUUCCAUCUUUGAGAACCAAUAGCCAAAUUGGGUGAAAGAGCCAGAGUGGUUUCCUGACAGGAAACUUGUAUCAACAGGUGCUUCCAUUCUCCAGUGAUUUAUAUCCCUGGAUGACUAAUACUUGCAACUAUAUAGUGAGUUUUGCCUAAGGACUCUAUCAAUAGAGGAGAGUAAGGCUUUAAUACUACAUGAACUUUUGUUUUCCUUUCUGACUAAAGGGGCUCCUUAGGGCUUUACUCUAAGAAGAAGGUCAGGUUAAGCCACCUGAGUUUACUGCCGUAACAUCGUUUCUCAAAACACACCAGUAGCCCCUGAGUGGUGAGGAGCUCCAGGGAGAAACGAAUCAUCUUAUCCUUUUUUUUUUCUUUUUAGGGUCACACCUGUGGCAUAUGGACGUUCCUAGGCUAGGGGUCAAAUUGGAACUGCAGCUGCCUGCCUACACCACAGCCACAGAAACACUAGAUCUGAACCUAAUCUGCAACAUACAUCAUAGCUCAUAGCAAUGCCGGAUCCUUAACCCACUGAGUGAGGCCAGGGAUUGAACCCGAAUCCUCAUGAAUACUAAUUGAGUUCUUAACCCGCUAAGCCACAACAGGAACUACCCAUUCAUCCUUUGAACCAGGGAAACAUUUGUCAGAUGUUAUCAUAAGCGCUUUAGAGCCCUUGCAAACUGAACUUGACAGUACUUGGUUCAAGUUUCUGACAUAGUGAUUUGGGAUGUGUUAUCUCGCAGAUGAUCAGGUUCUUAGUGGAAGGUAUCGCCAACUCUGUGAAAUCAGUUUUAUUUUGUCUUAAUAUCCAUUGGAAACCUGAGGGAAUUGAAGCUCAGGGAGUAAAUAGAUCCCUAACCUCCCCACUGUAAGCUCUACUACAGGCAUGGGGGAACCAUGGUGAUCCAGGGCCAGAUCACUUCUUCAAGCGGUCUAAGGACCCAGGAAUUCCCUGGCCAUUGCAUAAUGAAACUUCCAUAACUUUAUCAGGAAAUUCAGCUAGGAGGAGGGAUAGAGGCUUCUGAAAACAUUAGAAGAUAAAAAUCAAACCCUUUUUCCAUUUCAAUUUUCUAGUUUCUCUAUCUUGGUUGACAGAGUUAGGCUCCCACUCACUUUCUGCUUUAACAUGCAACAAAAAGACAUGGAGGUUCUGUGCCACCUCCACGUCCAUCAGUAAAUACUUGUUGAAAUAACUAACAAAUUAUGUUGAAUUAAGGGAUGAACGAGCCCAGAUUUUUCUCAUCCUGCAGACUGCAAUGAGGUACAGUCUUCGAAGAUUGGUUUAAUUUCAAGCCAGUCACAGAAAGGAUAACCAGCUGGUAUGAUAUAAGGCUGCCAAGAAGGUUUCAUAUAUUGGCUCUCAUUCUAAAGCCCUUAAUACAUUUCAUUCCUUUUAUCAUUAUUCUGUAACAGAAAAUUUUAUCCCAAGACUAGGAGAAAAAAAAUGUCUUCUCAAUUUUCCAACUUCUUUUGAUCAGGAAGUAAGAGAGAAAACAGUCUCCAGAAUGGGAAGGAAGGUGUUUCUUUUCAUUUAGACCAGCUCCUUGGGCCAUGUACAGGUGAGUGAGAUAUAGAGGCAUUUUUCUUGACACUUUACGUGGAAUUGGCCCUUGAAGUUGCUGAAUGUCAGGUGGCAUACUUGAAGAUUUCACCCACUCAGCUGAAUGUGUGUUAUGGGAAGUGAUGCAGCUUAGGACCCUUCAUCAAUCAGAGGGGUUUCUCCUGCUAUGUCAUGACCACCACUACCACCUGCCCCCGCCCCAACUCCAUUUCCAAGCACUUUAGGCCCUUUGCUUUGACAGACAGUGAUCUUACCUAGCGAUACAGAGAAUUGCUCCCCUUGAUGCUUGACAUUUUUGGUGGUAAAUUAAGUAAUUUAUUUAUUUGUCUUGUUAGGGCCACACCCAGGGCAUAUGGAGGUUCCCAGACUAGGAUCUGAAUAGGAGCUAUAGCCACUGGCCUGCACCACAGCAACGCCAGAUCUAAGCUGCGUUUGUGACCUAUGCCACAGCUCACAGCAACGCUCGAUCCUUAACCCACUAAGUGAGGCCAGGGAUCGAACCCAAGUCUUCAUGGAUACUAGUUGGGUUCGUUAACUGCUGAGCCACUACAGGAACUCCUAGUGGUAAAUUUAUAAUACACAUAUACAUAUAUGUAGGUAGACACAAAGACUAAGAUUAAUAAAUUGCUAUUUUAUCAUUUACAAUAAUCCAUACUCAUUAACAAUAUUUCCACAAAACUCCUGAGCCAUAGUCAUUAAAUAAAGUGAGGCGCCUAAGAGAAGAUUUCCUUUCCUUUAAACCCUCUCUACCUCACAUCCUGCCAUCUUACCUCUAUCUCCUUUCUCUGCUCUAAAAGGGAGAAAAACACAAAAGCUUUCCUAAGGAUACUUGUCAAUGAUUAAAACUCCUUCACUGGAAGCAUAUAUUCCUUUGUUGUAAUAUGUUACCUCUUAAUAAUAUGGAGCUUACUCUGGAGAGAAGUUGCAGGUUUGACUUUGUCAUCUUAGCCCUUGAUAUUAAUAGAGGAAAGAUUUAGCUCCAGAAUCCAGCCUCAAGAUUGACUAAGGUAGCAGAGUGGAAAAACCCUGAGUUCACCUCCUCUCAUGAGCAUACCAAAAUCACAACUAUUUGCAGGAGAACCAUCACUGAAAAUGACCAGAACCUGCCAGAAAAGAUCUUCCACAACUAACACCAUAAAGAAUAAACUAUAAUGAGAUGGGUAGGAGGCAGCGG